GUAGUCAUAUGCUUGUCUCAAAGAUUAAGCCAUGCAUGUCUAAGUAUAAGCAAUCUAUACUGUGAAACUGCGAAUGGCUCAUUAAAUCAGUUAUCGUUUAUUUGAUAGUACCUUACUACAUGGAUACCUGUGGUAAUUCUAGAGCUAAUACAUGCUAAAAACCCCGACUUCGGGAGGGGUGUAUUUAUUAGAUAAAAAACCAAUGCCCCUCGGGGCUCCUUGGUGAAUCAUAAUAACUUAACGAAUCGCAUGGCCUUGCGCCGGCGAUGGUUCAUUCAAAUUUCUGCCCUAUCAACUUUCGAUGGUAGGAUAGUGGCCUACCAUGGUGGCAACGGGUAACGGGGAAUUAGGGUUCGAUUCCGGAGAGGGAGCCUGAGAAACGGCUACCACAUCCAAGGAAGGCAGCAGGCGCGCAAAUUACCCAAUCCCGACACGGGGAGGUAGUGACAAUAAAUACUGAUACGGGGCUCUUUUGGGUCUCGUAAUUGGAAUGAGUACAAUCUAAAUCCCUUAACGAGGAACAAUUGGAGGGCAAGUCUGGUGCCAGCAGCC
rnacentral:rRNA from 1 species